GGCUUUAUGGUUGAAUAGGAAUGAUUUGGUAUUUUACAAAAACGUUAGAAGUUGCCGCUGCACUUAAUUGUCCUUUAUUUUUGCAUUGCAUUUCAGUUGUAGCUACCCCUCACAAGUCAUAAGUGAAUUGGAGAUCCUAUAUUGAGAGUUGUCAAAUCGACAAAUGGCCUAUAGCAAAUCAAAUAAGAAACACGUGCGCGUGACAAUCUUCCACAAAUCCAUUCAUGUUGGCGCAUUGACGGGUUCCUUUGGUCGAUCUCUAGGAGGUAAGUAACCACAUAAGGAGUACCAGCAAACAGCAACCUCCAUCCAUCUGAUUUGACGACACAGCUAAACAAAAUAGUCAUCGACAAAGACUCGUCGAUUAAUAGACGACUAGCUACAUAGAAAGAAACUCAUAGCAUUUAUCUCUCUUCUACUAUAGCUUGAUUAAUGCGAUGUAGUCCCUAUAUUAUUGUUCCAAGAUGUAUCCAUCACAAAACCUACCAUGAUGGCAAUCGUGUCGUGGAAUUAACAUCCGGGAAUCGGUCGCGGACGGAUCGAUCAGACCAAUGCCGUCUAGUUUAAGGUGGUCCAGAUUUUUACGACCUUUUUCUCCAGCACACAGAUCGUUGACUCAGAAUUACAUAUAGAUCAAUGUAAGGUCACGGCUAUGGCUUCUUUCAAAAAAAAAAAAAAAAGUUAACAACCAUGGUGGAUCAAUUUUGACUAGCGCUGUUGUUCUUUCCUUUUUCCUAUCUAAAACCAGAUUACAAAUAGAAACAAUGGUGUGUAUAAGCAACGCCUUUUGUUUUUGUCUCGUGCGCCAUAGAGUAGAAACAAUGAAGCGCUGCUCAUGCUGCAUGCAUGGCGACGAAAGAAUUUAUAAGCAUCUAAGGACAUAUGCACGUGCAGAUCGAAUAAGGGAGCGUAUAUACAUACUAGCCACAGUCAGUGGCAGGGGGAGGGAGGCUGAGGGGACCCGGCAUGCCCCAACAAUAACCAGCCCCCACUAUUAGCUAGUUUUUUGUCCUGAUCUCUAACAAUUUACUAGUAGCAUCUAUCUAUAUAAUUUAGGAUUAGUUAUUUACUUUGAUAUCUUCUUCAUCUCUUUUGUUCUUGUUAUUUUUGUAAUUUUAUUACCUACCGAUUGAUCCCUAUAAUAUACCCUAAUUAGCUAGUUAAUAAAUGUAGUUAGUGUUUCGCUUGUUUAUUCUCCUUUCCUACUUAUCUCCAGCA
rnacentral:lncRNA from 1 species